rnacentral:rRNA from 1 species
AUUGAACGCUGGCGGCAGGCUUAACACAUGCAAGUCGAACGAGUGGCGGACGGGUGAGUAAUGUCUGGGAAACUGCCUGAUGGCGGGGGAUAACUACUGGAAACGGUAGCUAAUACCGCAUACUAUCGGAUGUGCCCAGAUGGGAUUAGCUAGUGGGUGGGGUAAAGGCUCACCUAGGCGACGAUCCCUAGCUGGUGUGAGAGGAUGACCAGCCACACUGGGACUGAGACACGGUCCAGACUCCUACGGGAGGCAGCAGUGGGGAAUAUUGCACAAUGGGGGCAAGCCUGAUGCAGCCAUGCCGCGUGUAUGAAGAAGGCCUGCGGGUUGUAAAGUACUUUCAGCAGGGAAGCGUUACCCGCAGAAGAAGCACCGGCUAACUACGUGCCAGCAGCCGCGGUAAUUC